GCCAGCUGCAGAGCGGAGGAGCAGAGCAGUAAAUCAAGCAGGAAGCAGAAGCAAAAGAAGAAAACAGAGUAUGGAAUAAGUAAAGUAACUACAAUUUAACUUAGACGAUAAACAUAUUAAGUAUACUUUUAGCUUAGCGACAAAUAAAACAACACUACAAAUAUGGUUUCGACAUUUUAUUAAGCAUCAAAAAGAAGCGCGAAAUCAACCCCCAAUUUAGAGAUAAUGCUGUGGCAUUUUCUACGGCACAAUAACAAAUGCACGGCACAUUAUGAAUGUGUAUAUGGAAAAUAAAUUAACGAACCAAUAAAAGAAAAAAUGUAUGUAGCUCCUCCAUUCUCAAAGCAUUCGCACAGCGUUGCCACACAGCUUUGAUGCAGUGCUGCAUUGGUGGGACAUUGAAAUACAAAACAUAAGUGGUCUGGCAACGCCAGAUUAUUGAGUUUUAUUUAUGAAAAUUCUUAUUCCACAGCAUUACUACAUAGUUCAACUUUACAUACAAAAUACUAAAAUUAAUCAAUUUCAUAUACUAGUAUACGUCGAUCUUAUAAAUACAAAAAUGUUCACACGCAUUUACCUUCUCGUUACCCAUUCAGCAAAUAUACACAUUUAAGACGCGCGCCGUCUUACAUCCUUCACAUUAUUCUGGCAACAAACUGCAA